GCGGUAGAAGCUAACUUGGUAGAAGCACUGGCUUGAAACCCCAGAGGAGUAGGAUCGAAACCUACCUAUCGCA
rnacentral:tRNA from 2 species